GACGAACGCUGGCGGCGUGCUUAACACAUGCAAGUCGAACGGAAAGGCCCUGCUUUUGUUGGUUGCUCGAGUGGCGAACGGGUGAGUAACACGUGAGUAACCUGCCCUUGACUUUGGGAUAACUUCAGGAAACUGGGGCUAAUACCGGAUAGGAGCUCCUGCUGCAUGGUGGGGGUUGGAAAGUUUCGGCGGUUGGGGAUGGACUCGCGGCUUAUCAGCUUGUUGGUGGGGUAGUGGCUUACCAAGGCUUUGACGGGUAGCCGGCCUGAGAGGGUGACCGGCCACAUUGGGACUGAGAUACGGCCCAGACUCCUACGGGAGGCAGCAGUGGGGAAUAUUGCACAAUGGGCGGAAGCCUGAUGCAGCAACGCCGCGUGCGGGAUGACGGCCUUCGGGUUGUAAACCGCUUUCGCCUGUGACGAAGCGUGAGUGACGGUAAUGGGUAAAGAAGCACCGGCUAACUACGUG
rnacentral:rRNA from 1 species